rnacentral:rRNA from 1 species
CCUACGGGAGGCAGCAGUGGGGAAUUUUGGACAAUGGGCGCAAGCCUGAUCCAGCUAUUCCGCGUGUGGGAUGAAGGCCCUCGGGUUGUAAACCACUUUUGUAGAGAACGAAAAGACACCUUUUAAUAAAGGGUGUUGCUGACGGUACUCUAAGAAUAAGCACCGGCUAACUACGUGCCAGCAGCCGCGGUAAUACGUAGGGUGCGAGCGUUAUCCGGAUUUAUUGGGUUUAAAGGGUGCGUAGGCGGAAUGCCAAGUCAGCGGUAAAAUCGCGGGGCUCAACCUCGCUCCGCCGUUGAAACUGGCGUUCUUGAGUGGGCGAGAAGUAUGCGGAAUGCGUGGUGUAGCGGUGAAAUGCAUAGAUAUCACGCAGAACUCCGAUUGCGAAGGCAGCAUACCGGCGCCCAACUGACGCUGAAGCACGAAAGCGUGGGUAUCGAACAGGAUUAGAUACCCCAGUAGUC